rnacentral:lncRNA from 10 species
AAAGGGAGAGGGUGAGGGAGUUGUGGAGCGACAGCGACAGAGCCUUGGAGAGGGAGGCUCUGCUCAGGAUUUGUCCCCAGUGCCUUAUUUAGUUCACUUGGUGAGGUCAUGUUUUCCUGGAUGGUGUUGAUGCUAGUAGAUGUUCUUCAGUGUCUGGACAUUAAAAUCUUGGGCAUGCAGCACCAUAUGAGAAGUUUAAAAAAUAAAAUUUAAAGAGAGAAAAGUGGUGGGAUUGCUGAAUCAGACAGAGCCAAUAGAUGAUCAGUAAUGGUGGCCAAUCAUCAGCUAGAAAGAAAGUGCUUAGCAGGGCUUGAAAACACCAAAACUCUGAGACCACUGACCUUCAAAAACUUCAACAGCCCUGAGUGAAAAGUCCAAACACAUUUAUCUACCAUUCGAAGACGCUUUAUUGUCUGUCCUCUGCACAUCUCAGUAGUCUCUUUUUACCACACUGUCUAUAUACUGCAUGAGCCAUUUAUAUGAAACUAUCUGACACUCCAAGGCAUCUUGUACUAUAUAUUCAACUAUGUAUCCCUAGUACCUAGCACAGUCCUGGCAUAUAGUUUGCUACUAAACUUUUACAGAAUGAAGGAAUUAUCUUGUAUCCAGGUUCCAAGUUUUAAGGUGAUUCUUCAGUAAAAAAAAGUAUUACAGUUCACAAAUAAUCUACUUCCCUUUUUACAAAUGGGAUCAAUUUUAAUCUUAUCUCCUAAUAACAUUACUUUCAUUUACUCUGAUCUAAAUAUACUGUCCUAAGAGAGCAAUAAGAAAGAGAGUUGAAGCUGGAGUUUGAAGAAUUGUACAUGGUCCUGUGAUACCCUACCUUGUUUUAACCUGAGUGACUCUCUCCUAGCGGAGAGAGAGCCGGACAGACUCCAUUUUAGUUUCUUCACGUGCAGCCCCCUUUACCUUCCACCCUUAAUUGCAUAACUAGUGUAAACUGACUCAAAGCAGGUCCAGGAAUGCACUUAGUGAUAAGAUAUUGAGGCAAGCUGCACCAGCUGCUCCUGGGUACGCACUCGGUGAAUGUCACGCAAAACCCCUGCAUUUCUCUCUUUGUGAUAGUUUAAGCCCCUGCACCUGGAACUGUUUAUUUGUUUUGUAACUGCUAUUGUAACCAAUUAAUAUUUUAACUAUUUGCCAGCUCUGCUUCUGUAAAACUUGUUUCAGCUAAACUCCCCCCUCCCCUAUUUAGACCACGGUAUAAAAACAAAACCAGCCCCUUCCUCGGGGCCAAGAGAAUUUUGAGCAUUACAUGCCUCUCGGUUACCGGCUAAUAAAGGACUCCUUAAUUUGUCUCAAAGUGUGGCAUUCCUCUAUAACUCGCUUGGUUACAACAGUCCACACUGUGGCCUGAGGUGCAUUGCCCACCUGAGCUUCAUCUGUUAUGUAUGUCAGGGAAUAUAAGCAGGGUGAGAGUGGCCUCAUCAGAGGACCCCAGAUCUCUGGCUUACCCAUCUGGCAAGUGCACCUCUGUGAGCAAAGACUUCAGAGCCAGGUGACAAGAAUGGCCCAAGCAGUCCACCAGGAAAACCUGGGCCCAGUGUACGUCAAUGCAGAGCAUCAAGCAUGGUGUAACAGGUGCACAGUUGCCUACUCCUGUUCAGAGAUGACUGCAUCCCACAUACCGUAAAAUGAGGAAAUGCAUAGAAGCAGAUGUAACUGAAGAAGACAGCAGAAGCAACAAGGAGGGACAACCAGGACCUAGGAGGGCACCAUGCCAGAGACGCCUGGACCCCAUGCUAGGCUCAGUGCCUGUUAUACUCUUGGGAGCCAGCACUUUCCCUCUCCAUCACAUGGCAUACUUGCCAUUAUUUGUUGUGUAAAAUAUUGUCCUUAGUUUUCACCUUUCCUAGGAGACACAGGCAGAGCCUGUGACACUACAGCUUCUGGCACACAGUAGGUAGGUGCAUCACAAACAUCUGCUGAGUUCACACACUCUUGCCUUCUCAAAACUUCUUGUCAAGUCUUCAGUGAAAAGGAAUUGCUGAUUGAGCAAGAAUUAAACUUCUAGAGACUCCUGGAUCCACUGAAGUUUGAGACAAGCUCUAGUCAGGAAGUGUUAGAGAGUUCUAAACAGGAAAUAUUCCAACACAUCAUCUAAGCAUGAAGCAGGAGACACCCAUAAUUGAGUUUGCUGCCACCAACCCCAACAGCAAGAAUUCCAGUCCUGCUGCUGCAAAUUCUCUUUUGGAGUCUUUCUUGCAGUUGCGGUUGGUUGGCUGCUGCUGAAGUCACCUGAAAGCUCAAUUAGGCUAAAGAGUCUAAACGGGUCACUUACAUGGCUGGCAGUGCAUAUUGGCUGCUGAGUGUGAUGCCUAUCUGACCUCUCCAUGUUACCUGGAGUGCUCACAACGUGGUAGUUUGUCCCAAGACACACAGGCAAAUACUACAAAGCUUCUUAGGGCCUAGCCUUGGAGGUCCUAGAAUACGACUUCUGCUGCAUCCUAUUGGAAAAGCAAGUCAUUGUGACCAGCACAGAUUCAAGAAAUGGGAGAUUCGACUCUACCUGUCAAUGUAAACAGCAGCAUGUGCAUGCAGGGAGGAAAGAAAUUGAGGGCAUCAUCUUGAAGACUAUCAUAUCACACCAUUAUUCCAACUAGUGAACAUUAUGUUUUAGAUGGGUAGUACUAGCUACUCAUCUGUCCCCCAGAAACCCAAGCUAAGCAUGGACAUAUUGAAGAGAAUGUCAACACCAUUAAAAAAACUCUAGAAAAAUCACAUGUGAUGACUGAGGUUAAUUCAGUCUGUCAACUACAUCAAUAUAAUUGCCUUCUUGUAACCCUAAGUAUGGUGAAGCAGAAUUGAAUUCUACAAAAGUCUUUCAUCUGUUUUCCUAUGGAAUAAUUAACAAACCCAAUAAAUGUAUAAAUAGCA